UCUCUCGUUCUACUCGCUCGAAUCCUCUCGCCUGCCUCCUCUCUCGCCCGUCCCUCCCAGAUCCUCUCCUCUUGCCCACCUUUCCUCUCAUCCCGUUGUCGCCGGCCUCUCCUUUCCUCCCGCCGUCGCCGGCCUCUCCUUUCCUCCUGUCGUCGCCGGCUUCCUCCCACGGCGCCACCCCAUUUUCUCCCACAGCGGGCACCAGAAAUCCAGCACCCCAAGGUAAAAUAUCAAUUUUUUAGCGCCCACGACGUGCUUCUGGGCGGCGGAGGCGCUGGUUCCGCGUGCGCCAGCACUGGAUCCACGUGCCCCGACACCGGUGACGAAGCGACAUUGGAUGUGGAGCGGCGGAGCGGCGCCGUAGCAGUAGAGCAACAGAGCAACGGAACAACGGGGUAGCGAAGAAGCGGAGUGACAGUACAACGCCUAUUCAUGGGGUACUGCUGCCGCAAGAAUAUUGAGGAAGAUGACGAUGUGGAGGCGGAGGAGGCGGCGGCCGAGGUGGUGAUGACGGAGGAGGGGUCCGUCUAGGUCGCCCAGAAGAACCUCAAGGGGGUUCUGCUGAACCUCAAGCUAAGGAAUCCGUUUGUUUGUGGGUUCGUCUUAGGUGCAGAUGUGAUUUUUGUUAGGGAAGUGGAGGAUUUUGUUCUUCCUGUGAACAUUAACUUGUGACAAAAGGGAGCUCACACAAAAGGAAACUAUGUUGCUGUAGAAGAUUUUGUUCUUCCUGUGUGACUGUGAAAUGUAAAGGAAAUUAAUCCAUAUUUUUGUACUACUCAUGUGUGACUGUGUUGCAAAAAUAUGAACAAACUCCA